UUCGGGGGUAAACGGACAGAGCCCGUGAAUCCGGGCGACGGAAUUCAGAAUCGACAACAACGUUGUCGGUUUGAUAUUUCCGUCGCCGCGGACGUCGCGACCCGUUCGGUGUCGGUCUGAGGAGACGUGUAAAAGUUCGCCGACGUUGGUCCAUUCGGGUGCGCGUCGACGAGUGCGCGUUCUUGUUUUCUGGCCGACUCGCCGGACGGUACUAACGGUGGCCGCGACGAUCUUUCGAGCGUCGUCGUCGGUGCCGGUCUGCGACGAAUCUUCGGGCCUCUUUCCGACCCGUCUUGAACAUAGGG
rnacentral:rRNA from 1 species